UUUGGUUUGUUGCUAUUUGGGGAAGGCCACGUGUUUUGUUUUCUUUGGCACUGGGGGUUAAACCCAGAGCCUUCACACUGAGCCAUUUCCCAGUUUUUCUGUUUUGUUUUGUUUUUUUAAGACAAGGUCUUCUUAAAUUGCUUAAUUACCCAGACUGGACUCAAACUUGUAAUGCUCCUGCCUCACCCUCCCCAAGUGCUGGGAUUACAAGAGUGCGUUACUAUGCCCGGUUUGACAUAUUUAAAUUCUUAGGCAGGUGUAGGGACAGAUCACCAGGAGGUCAGCAAGCUCCUCAGCCUCACACCUCUGUAAACAUGAAGGACUCACCCGAGAGUGCUGCCCUCUAGGCUGUGCCCAGGUCUCCAGGUGGCAGUGGCAACAAGGCCAACACUGACUAUGACUUUGCACAGCUUUGUAGUCACCAGCAGCCUCUUCAGACCUUGUUGAUCCAAAAGUUUAUCCAUUGGCCCAAUCUCUUGCUUGGGGCAAUGGAGCAAAGUGGGUACUGUAUUGGAGCCAAGUCCACAUUGUUUUCAAAACCUGCUUCGCUGUUGAAGGAAAAGCCAGUCUCUUCGUAUGUCUCCUUGUGACGAAUUUCUUCACCUUGAAUGUUUGCAGGGCUCAUUUCAUAACUCUGGGGACUCACUUUAUAGAAGUCUGAACAAAAUAAAACCUUUUCACUUAAGCUAAAAUGACUUAUCACAGAAAAAGCCUGGAAGUGAGAGCAAAGAAGGGAGACUAGGGCACAGCAACAUAGCUGGAGUAAUUGGAAGCAACCUGCCAGUUGGAGAGACUUGUUAACCAUGGGCAUGGAGAAGCAGCUCUCAAGCUUGACACGAGAUCAAGUCAAACCCUGCACCUGGUACCAAUCUUCUGCCAUAAGAACAUGCUGAACAUGGCACCUGAUGUCAGUUUUCUGAAUCAAGAACACAUGGAGCCUAGCACCUAACACCAAUCUUCUAGUACAAGAUCAACUGGGACCACUUGGAUCAACUAUCAAGACG
ensembl:lncRNA